UUAGAGUUUGAUCAUGGCUCAGGACGAACGCUGGCGGUGCGCCUUAUGCAUGCAAGUCGAGCGAAGCUUUUCAGUAGUUUACUACAGAAAAUGACUGAGCGGCGAACGGGUGAGUAACGCGUGAGCAAUCUACCUUAGUUACAGGGAUAGCCCGAGGAAACUCGGAUUAAUACCUGAUAUUCUUUAUUUCUCGCAUGAGAAUAAAAGGAAAGGUCAGCCGAACUAAGAUGAGCUCGCGUUCUAUCUGCUAGUUGGUGAGGUAAAAGCUUACCAAGGCUACGACGGAUAGCUGGUCUGAGAGGACGAUCAGCCACACUGGGACUGAGACACGGCCCAGACUCCUACGGGAGGCUGCAGCAGGGAAUAUUGUGCAAUGAACGAAAGUUUGACACAGCGACACCGCGUGUGGGAUGACGGAUCUAGGUUUGUAAACCACUUUCAGGAGGGAAGAAAAUGACGGUACCUCCACAAGAAGCCCCGGCCAACUACGUGCCAGCAGCCGCGGUAAUACGUAGGGGGCGAGCGUUGUCCGGAUUUAUUGGGCGUAAAGAGCUCGUAGGCGGUUCAACAAGUCGGUCGUGAAAGUUCAGGGCUCAACCCUGAAAUGUCGAUCGAUACUGUUGUGACUAGGAUACGGUAGAGGUGAGUGGAAUUCCGAGUGUAGCGGUGAAAUGCGUAGAUAUUCGGAGGAACACCAAUUGCGAAGGCAGCUCACUGGGCCGCUAUCGACGCUGAGGAGCGAAAGCUAGGGGAGCAAACAGGAUUAGAUACCCUGGUAGUCCUAGCUGUAAACGAUGGAUACUAGAUGUAGGAACUGGAUUGACGGUUUCUGUAUCGCAGCUAACGCGUUAA
rnacentral:rRNA from 1 species